AGAGUUUGAUCAUGGCUCAGAACGAACGCUGGCGGCGUGGAUAAGACAUGCAAGUCGAACGAGAUUUUUCGUUGUAGCAAUACGAUGGAGAAAUUUAGUGGCGAACGGGUGCUUAACACGUGGGCAACCUGCCAUGAAGUGGGGGAUAGCUCGCCGAAAGGCGAAUUAAUACCGCAUGUGAUUAGAGAGGACAUCCUUUCGAAAUUAAAGUCGGGGCAACCUGACGCUUCUUGUGGGGCCCGCGGCCUAUCAGCUAGUUGGUGAGGUAACGGCUCACCAAGGCUUUGACGGGUAGCUGGUCUGAGAGGACGACCAGCCACACUGGGACUGAGACACGGCCCAGACACCUACGGGUGGCAGCAGUCGAGAAUUUUUGACAAUGGGGGAAACCCUGAUCGAGCGACGCCGCGUGGAGGAUGAAGGUCUUCGGAUUGUAAACUCCUGUCAUUUGGGAACAAGGUGCACACGUUAACUGCGUGCGUAUUGAUAGUACCAGAAGAGGAAGAGACGGCUAACUCUGUGCCAGCAGCCGCGGUA
rnacentral:rRNA from 1 species